AAGUCGUAACAAGGUAACCGUAGGUGAACCUGCGGUUGGAUCAUUAACAAAACUAAAGACUCCCUCUUUACCGAGGGCAGUUGAACCUUUUGUGAACUGUUUUAUUGUCUGGCAGGUAAGCCUUGGCAAGCCUGCCAGUUUUAAACAUUAUUUCAUGUUGACUUAUUAAAUUUAUAAUUUAAAAACAACUUUUGACAACGGAUCUCUAGGCUCUCGUAACGAUGAAGAA
rnacentral:misc_RNA from 1 species